ACCCUCGGGUGAAUCCUACAUUUAUUUAGUCUGUCAGAACGCCGAAGCAGUCUCGUAGGCCACCAACGCCUCAACUAUCAACUAGAACCUGGAGGGGCGAAAAACAGAAAACGUGAGUGGGCGAAAAUAAAGCUUUUCCAAAACAUUUCAUAAAUCCACAUUUAUAACCCCUUUUUGGAAAACCUGUAUACUUUCCCAGAAAAAUAGUAUAUAGCAUAUAUAUCUCAACUGUCUCAAUCAUCAAACUUAUAACAGAUUCAAUAAAGAAUGUACCAUGCCAAUUUCAACAGUGUAGUAUGAAUGCAUUAACAUAAUAUAAUCAGGUAAAAGAAAUAAUCAAUCGGGAGGCCCUCUAAUAGCCCUGAACGAUUGAACCUAGAGCUCAACAUCUAUCAAUCUCACUCUCUGCCGGAGUCACUCCGCGUGACCUGUCCGGCCUUCUGCACAUAAGUCGGAACCACCUAAUGUAGUCUGAACGACUCAUGGUAAUAUUCGCUCUAGUGCUUCUCUCAUCAAUCAUCUGUAUACAAUAACCUAAGGUCACCCACCAGUCAUAAUCUCACUAACACUCUACGACUGGCCCGUCGUACCCACUCCGCGUGGACUGUACGACCAGCAUCUACUUGGAUCCAAGGCGAGCGUGCGAUGCGGUGAAUACUAUAAGCACUAAACCAUGGUGCAGGAUAUGAGCUCAAUAUAUCAUCAUCCUCAACAUAACAGUAAUUAAAUACUUACCUGUGCGUCCACAGCACCAUCAUACAUAUAUGCAUCAUACGACAGUUCAUAAUAUCCAUAACAUUCUAUGCAUGGCAAUCACAUCAUAUUUCAUUUCAAUAUACUUUUCAUUUAAAUUUGAUUUCUGGGGAAAUCGAGUAUAUAGGUAUAUAUAUAGAAAGCAAUGCCCACUCACUGGUAUGUCGCCGGGUCGUAACCCCCUUGACGCCCCUGGAUGUGCUCGUCCUCGUUAAAGGUUCCACCUAAAAGUGAAAUAACUUAAAACAAUCAUUUAACGCACAAAUAACGCACCUAAACCAAACUAGGUAAUAAAUUCUUCAUACGAUGCUCAAAUUGGGUAUAUGAAUAUACCACAGUGACCUACACAACCUCAGGAUCAUCCCCAUAUUUUUAAAAUAAUUUUUGGAGUCCUCACGCGCCCCCACGCGCCUGACGUGGCACGGACCUACGCGCGGCCCACGCGCAGCCACGUGCCAGGCACACUGACGGCACAGUGAACGGCGUUAGGGAAUAUUCCGUUAAAUCCUAGCAUUUUCCGUUAAAUAUCCAACGGUAACGGUAACGGCGUUGGCAUAUUCCGUCAGUUUUGACGGAAUAUUCCCUGUCUUCUCCGGCGAGUCGCCGGUCGCCGGCGACUGUUCGCCGGUUUCUGGAAAAUUUUCAAAUCCACUAUUCUCCUUCGUUUUUCAACCAAUUUCUUCGCAUUUUAUACCAAAAUGAAGCAUUUAACAUGUACUAACACGUUGGAAGGGUUUUAAGGCCUAAAAACAACAAGAUCAAACCUUUCAAAAUUCUUCAAUUUCGGCCAAACUCGAACCCGACGAUCCCGACGUCCAUUUUGUUCAAACGAGGCACUCCGAGCCUCCUUGGAACUUCCUAAGACUCGUGGUGAUCUUUGUUUAACCUAAAACACAACCAAAAUUAAGUUCGUGAACAGUGCCAUUACACGGGGUGUUUUAAAACUAGGAUUUCAGAAAUAGAACUUACCUAAAACUGGUAUUCCCGUGCUCGUGAGGUCCUAAGGAGUGUCGUGGUGAUCUUAGAUCGGACGUUGGUGUAGGAUUGUGAUUGUUCUUGGUGUUUGUCCGAGAGCUUGAGAGAGAGUUCGAGAGUAAGAGAGAGAGAGUGAUACUGAAAUGAAGAAAGAGAGAGAGAGUGAAGGGAGAUGAGAGAGAGACAUCCCACGGGUUUUGGGGAGGGAUUUAGGGGGUAGGACCCCACCCUAAGUCCAAACACAAAUUAAAUUAACACAUACUAAUAUAAUUCUAACCCUAGUUUAGGAUCUUAGUGUAAAACAAAUACCAAAUUUACGCACCUUAAUCCCGUUUAAGGGCGUUUUAGUAAUUUCACGUCCUCGGUAUUUAGUAACUCUGGGACGGGCUGUGACAAUCUCCCCUCCUUAUAGAAUUUCGUCCCCGAAAUUCCAAUCACUAACCAGAACAUCAAAAGUCAUAGAAUAACCUCGGAUACAUAUCUCUCAUCCGAUCUUCUGUCUCCCAAGUAGCUUCUUCAGCUGAAUGGUUUCUCCACAAUACUUUCACCAAGCUCACGGUCUUAUUCCUCAAGGUCUUAUCUUUCCAAUCCAGUAUAGUCACUGGUUUCCUCAUCGUACGUCAAGUCCGGAUUAAUUUCCAAUGGUUGAGGAGGAAUCACAUGUGAAGGAUCUGACACAUAAUGCCGAAGCAUCGAGACAUGGAACACAUUAUGUACCUUAGACAACUCUGGAGGUAGCUCCAACCUGUAAGCAACUUCACCAAUCCUCUCAGUGAUCUCAUAAGGUCCAAUGUACCUGGGACUUAGCUUUCCUUUCUUUCCAAAGCGAACUACACCUCUCCAAGGCGAUAAUUUCAGAAAAACAUAGUCGCCCACAUUAUACAUUCUGUCCGUGGUAUGUCGAUCCGCUAGGCUCUUUUGUCUAUCCUGGGCCACUUUCAGGUUAGAUUUAAUUACCUGAAUAUUCUGAGUAGUCUCAUCCACAAUCUCUGGCCCUUCAAGUAUUCUUUCACCAACCUCUGACCAACAUAAUGGCGUACGGCAAGCUUUACCAUAAAGUGCUUCAAAUGGAGACAUUCCAAUACUCGAAUGAAAACUAUUAUUAUAGGCAAACUCCAUCAAAUCCAAACGAUCAUGCCAAGAAUCACCAAAUUGCAUCACAGAGGAUCUCAACAUAUCCUCGAGUGUCUGAAUAGUUCUCUCUGACUGACCAUCUGUCUGUGGAUGAUAAGCUGUACUGUAAAGCAAUCUAGUACCCAAAGCUUCUUGAAAAGCUAUCCAAAACUUAGAAGUAAAUCUUGGAUCUCGAUCAGAAAUAAUAUUCACUGGGACACCAUGAUACUUUACAACCUUCGAUAUGAAUAACUGAGCCAACUUAUUUAAAGAGUACUUCUCCCUUACUGGAAUAAAAUGUGCUGAUUUGGUAAGUCGAUCUACAACCACCCAAAUGCCAUCAAAACCAUUUUGUGUACGUGGCAACUUAUACACAAAAUCCAUCGUUAUAUUCUCCCAUUUCCACUGGGGAACGGGAAGUGGUUGCAAUCUCCCAAACGGCUUCUUUCUUUCAGCCUUAACCUGCUGGCAGACAAUACACCUACUCACAUACUCCGCAAUCUCCCUCUUCAUACCCGGCCAAUAGUAGAAUGGUCGAAUGGUAUGAUACAUUUUAGUUCCUCCUGGGUGCAUAGCAUAAGCCGAACAAUGUGCUUCAUCCAAGAUUUCUUUCUUCAGUUCCUCAUUAUUAGGCACAUACAUCCUGUUCUCUUGCAUAAGCAUACCAUCUGAUCCUCGGAUCUUGAGAUCUUUCUUCUUCCCUUCAUUUCUUAAAUUGAUCAAUUCUUGAAUUUCUUCAUCCAACGAUUGAGCUGCAAGCACCCGAUCAAUUAAAAUUGGCUUGACUUGAAAAUUGGCAAGAAAAGCUUCACUUUGCUCUUCCCAUUCUAAUUCUACUCCAGUAGAUCUCAACUCUGCCAGAAGAGGAACACGACUGGUAUACAAAGCAUUAAGUCGCCCUUGAGGCUUCCUACUCAGAGCAUCAGCUACCACAUUUGCACGACCCGGAUGGUACUCAUGUGCAGACAUAUUCCUCUGCUUCAGACUGGUGAAUUCCUGUUUCUUGCGAUCUAUAUAUUCCGGAGGAACAAAUCUCUUCAUAAAAUUUUCCUUAAAUACCUCCCAUUCGGCUGCCCUUUCAGGUGUCAUGUGCCUCGACUGAUUUAUCCACCACGCAGCUGGCUCACGGCCCAAAAACCAGGUGGUGGUCUCCACCCAUCUAUUAGCUGGCAGGUUUCCCUGACUUUGCAUCACUUGAAAGGUCUGCUCAAUUCGAUCCAACCACUUUUCUGCCCCUUCAUAACCUUCAUUUCCCUCAAAAGUUUCCAGUUUCAGAUUAUACAUCGUCUCUACGGGCGUUCUCUGAGGAGGACGGAUAUUAGCCUGAAAAGCUUGAGCCAUUGCUGCCCCUAACUGAGUUAUAUCGGGGAAAUUAGGCUCAGCAGCACGGCGAGGAUCUCUACGAGGCGGCAUAAUUCUGACAGAAAACAUAACAAAAUCAAUAGAAGAACUCAUUAGUUAUACAGGACUGCAACCUAUACUCUGAUACCAAACUGACACACCCUAACCCGAAGACUAGGACGUGCUGGCCGUCACGUGAGUGUGACGUAACCAUAACGCAAGCGGAAACGAUUUAAUAAUAAAAUACGAGUCAACGAAAACCACUAAUUGCAGUUAUUUACAACCGAGCAUUCUAUGUGCAUAAGAGUGUACUAAACACACAUAAACAGAGCAUAAGCAUCUAGGUGCAGUCAAGUAGGAACAUAACUAAUUUACAACACCCUCGGGUGAAUCCUACAUUUAUUUAGUCUGUCAGAACGCCGAAGCAGUCUCGUAGGCCACCAACGCCUCAACUAUCAACUAGAACCUGGAGGGGCGAAAAACAGAAAACGUGAGUGGGCGAAAAUAAAGCUUUUCCAAAACAUUUCAUAAAUCCACAUUUAUAACCCCUUUUUGGAAAACCUGUAUACUUUCCCAGAAAAAUAGUAUAUAGCAUAUAUAUCUCAACUGUCUCAAUCAUCAAACUUAUAACAGAUUCAAUAAAGAAUGUACCAUGCCAAUUUCAACAGUGUAGUAUGAAUGCAUUAACAUAAUAUAAUCAGGUAAAAGAAAUAAUCAAUCGGAGGCCCUCUAAUAGCCCUGAACGAUUGAACCUAGAGCUCAACAUCUAUCAAUCUCACUCUCUGCCGGAGUCACUCCGCGUGACCUGUCCGGCCUUCUGCACAUAAGUCGGAACCACCUAAUGUAGUCUGAACGACUCAUGGUAAUAUUCGCUCUAGUGCUUCUCUCAUC
rnacentral:lncRNA from 1 species